rnacentral:misc_RNA from 1 species
UAUAAUAGAAAGUCUGUUCGACUUUUAAUUAAUUACAUGAUUUGAGUUCAAACCGGCGUAAGCCAGGUUGGUUUCAAUCUUCUCAUUCAUAUCUUUAGUACGAAAGGACCAAGUUAUAUUUUAAUCUUAUUGGCAGAACAUUGCACUAGACUUAGAAUCUAAAUAAACUCUAA